rnacentral:rRNA from 1 species
UGGAGAGUUUGAUCCUGGCUCAGGACGAACGCUGGCGGCGUGCUUAACACAUGCAAGUCGAGCGGUAAGGCCCUUCGGGGUACACGAGCGGCGAACGGGUGAGUAACACGUGGGUGAUCUGCCUCGCACUCUGGGAUAAGCCUGGGAAACUGGGUCUAAUACCGGAUAUGACCUUACAUCGCAUGGUGUUUGGUGGAAAGAUUUAUCGGUGCGAGAUGGGCCCGCGGCCUAUCAGCUUGUUGGUGGGGUAAUGGCCUACCAAGGCGACGACGGGUAGCCGGCCUGAGAGGGCGACCGGCCACACUGGGACUGAGACACGGCCCAGACUCCUACGGGAGGCAGCAGUGGGGAAUAUUGCACAAUGGGCGAAAGCCUGAUGCAGCGACGCCGCGUGAGGGAUGACGGCCUUCGGGUUGUAAACCUCUUUCGACAGGGACGAAGCGCAAGUGACGGUACCUGUAGAAGAAGCACCGGCCAACUACGUGCCAGCAGCCGCGGUA